rnacentral:rRNA from 1 species
AACGAACGCUGGCGGCAUGCCUAACACAUGCAAGUCGAACGAGACCUUCGGGUCUAGUGGCGCACGGGUGGGUAACGCGUGGGAACCAGCCUUUAGGUUCGGAAUACUUCAGUGAAAUUUGAGCUAAUACCGGUUGGUGUCUUCGGACCAAAGAUUUAUCGCCUUUAGAUGGGGGCGGGUUGGAUUCGCGAGUUGGUGGGGUACAGGCCUAUCAAGGCGACGAUGCAUAGCUGGUCUGAGAGGAUGAUCAGCCCCACUGGGACUGAGACACGGCCCAGACUCCUACGGGAGGCAGCAGUGGGGAAUAUUGGACAAUGGGCGAAAGCCUGAUCCAGCAGUGCCGCGUGAGUGAUGAAGGCCUUAGGAUUGUAAAGCUCUUUUACCCGAGAUGAUAAUGACAGUAUCGGGAGAAUAAGCACCGGCUAACUCCGUG